UGGGGAAUUUUGGACAAUGGGCGAAAGCCUGAUCCAGCAAUGCCGCGUGUGUGAAGAAGGCCUUCGGGUUGUAAAGCACUUUUGUCCGGAAAGAAAUCCUUGGCUCUAAUACAGUCGGGGGAUGACGGUACCGGAAGAAUAAGCACCGGCUAACUACGUGCCAGCAGCCGCGGUAAUACGUAGGGUGCAAGCGUUAAUCGGAAUUACUGGGCGUAAAGCGUGCGCAGGCGGUUUGCUAAGACCGAUGUGAAAUCCCCGGGCUCAACCUGGGAACUGCAUUGGUGACUGGCAGGCUAGAGUAUGGCAGAGGGGGGUAGAAUUCCACGUGUAGCAGUGAAAUGCGUAGAGAUGUGGAGGAAUACCGAUGGCGAAGGCAGCCCCCUGGGCAAUACUGACGCUCAUGCACGAAAGCGUGGGGAGCAAACAGGAUUAGAUACCCUGGUAGUCCACGCCCUAAACGAUGUCAACUAGUUGUUGGGGAUUCAUUUCCUUAGUAACGUAGCUAACGCGUGAAGUUGACCGCCUGGGGAGUACGUCGCAAGAUU
rnacentral:rRNA from 1 species